GAAAUGCGAUAAUUAAUGUGAAUUGCAGAAUUCAGUGAAUCAUCGAGUCUUUGAACGCACAUUGCGCCCCCUGGUAUUCCGGGGGGCAUGCCUGUCCGAGCGUCAUUGCUGCCCUCAAGCACGGCUUGUGUGUUGGGCUUCCGUCCCUGGCCACGGGGACGGGCCCAAAAGGCAGUGGCGGCACCAUGUCUGGUCCUCGAGCGUAUGGGGCUUUGUCACCCGCUCCCGUAGGUCCAGCUGGCAGCUAGCCUCGCAACCAAUCUUUUUAACCAGGUUGACCUCGGAUCAGGUAGGGAUACCCGCUGAACUUAAGC
rnacentral:misc_RNA from 1 species